UACGAAGGGGGCUAGCGUUGCUCGGAAUCACUGGGCGUAAAGGGUGCGUAGGCGGGUCUUUAAGUCCGAGGUGAAAUCCUGGAGCUCAACUCCAGAACUGCCUUUGAUACUGAAGAUCUUGAGUUCGGGAGAGGUGAGUGGAACUGCGAGUGUAGAGGUGAAAUUCGUAGAUAUUCGCAAGAACACCAGUGGCGAAGGCGGCUCACUGGCCCGAUACUGACGCUGAGGCACGAAAGCGUGGGGAGCAAACAGG
rnacentral:rRNA from 1 species